rnacentral:tRNA from 2 species
AGAGAUUUAGGCUAAAAUAGACCAAGGGCCUUCAAAGCCCUAAGUAAGUAUUACUAACUUAAUCUCUG